UNUGACUUGAGUGCAGAAGGGGAGAGUGGAAUUCCAUGUGUAGCGGUGAAAUGCGUAGAUAUAUGGAGGANCACCAGUGGCGAAAGCGGCUCUCUGGUCUGUCACUGACGCUGAGGCUCGAAAGCGUGGGUAGCGAACAGGAUUAGAUACCCUGGUAGUNCACGCCGUAAACGAUGAGUGCUAGGUGUUAGGCCCUUUCCGGGGCUUAGUGCCGGAGCUAACGCAAUAAGCACUCCGCCUGGGGAGUACGACCGCAAGGUUGAAACUCAAAGGAAUUGACGGGGGCCCGCACAAGCGGUGGAGCAUGUGGUUUAAUUCGAAGCAACGCGAAGAACCUUACCAGGUCUUGACAUCCCGAUGCUAUUCUUAGAGAUAGGAAGUUACUUCGGUACAUCGGAGACAGGUGGUGCAUGGUUGUCGUCAGCUCGUGUCGUGAGAUGUUGGGUUAAGUCCCGCAACGAGCGCAACCCUUAUUGUUAGUUGCCAUCAUUAAGUUGGGCACUCUAGCGAGACUGCCGGUAAUAAACCGGAGGAAGGUGGGGAUGACGUCAAAUCAUCAUGCCCCUUAUGACCUGGGCUACACACGCGCUACAAUGGUCGGUACAACGAGUUGCGAGCCGGUGACGGCAAGCUAAUCUCUGAAAGCCGAUCUCAGUUCGGAUUGGAGGCUGCAACUCGCCUCCAUGAAGUCGGAAUCGCUAGUAAUCGCGGAUCAGCACGCCGCGGUGAAUACGUUCCCGGGCCUUGUACACACCGCCCGUCACACCACGAGAGUUUGUAACACCCGAAGUCGGUGAGGUAACCUUUUAGGGNCCA
rnacentral:rRNA from 1 species